UACAGAGGGUGCGAGCGUUAAUCGGAAUUACUGGGCGUAAAGCGCACGUAGGCGGCUUGGUAUGUCGGGGGUGAAAUCCCCGGGCUCAACCUGGGAACUGCAUCCGAUACUGCCUUGCUAGAGUAUGGGAGAGGGAAGUGGAAUUUCCGGUGUAGCGGUGAAAUGCGUAGAUAUCGGAAGGAACAUCAGUGGCGAAGGCGACUUCCUGGACCAAUACUGACGCUCAGGUGCGAAAGCGUGGGGAGCAAACAGG
rnacentral:rRNA from 1 species